GACGAACGCUGGCGGCGUGCCUAAUACAUGCAAGUUGAGCGCUGAAGGUUGGUACUUGUACCAACUGGAUGAGCAGCGAACGGGUGAGUAACGCGUGGGGAAUCUGCCUUUGAGCGGGGGACAACAUUUGGAAACGAAUGCUAAUACCGCAUAAAAACUUUAAACACAAGUUUUAAGUUUGAAAGAUGCAAUUGCAUCACCCAAAGAUGAUCCCGCGUUGUAUUAGCUAGUUGGUGAGGUAAAGGCUCACCAAGGCGAUGAUACGUAGCCGACCUGAGAGGGUGAUCGGCCACAUUGGGACUGAGACACGGCCCAAACUCCUUCGGGAGGCAGCAGUAGGGAAUCUUCGGCAAUGGACGAAAGGCUUACCGAGCAACGCCGCGUGAGUGAAGAAGGUUUUCGGAUCGUAAAACUCUGUUGGUAGAGAAGAACGAUGGUGAGAGUGGAAAGCUCAUCAAGUGACGGUAACUACCCAGAAAGGGACGGCUAACUACGUG
rnacentral:rRNA from 1 species